GUCGGGGCUCAGGUGUGCGUGAGGGGUGUUAGGGCCCAUAGUGCUCUCAGGUGUGCAUGGGGGUGGUUGGGCCCACAGCGGGUUCAGGUGUGUGUGAGGGAGUUACGGUCCUACAGUGGUUUCAGGGGGCCGAGGGACCGAGCGCUGUAGUAACCUCAGGUGUAGGGAGGGGAGCGGGAUGAUGAGGUCUACAGUGGUCUCAAGUAUGAGGAAUGGAUGUUGGGGUCCAUAUCAGGCUCAGGUGUAUGUGUAUAGAGGGGUGUCAGGGGCCAUAAUUAGUUCUGAGGUGUUCGUGUACACUGUCAGGGUCUGUAGUGGUAUCAAAUGUUCUUGUGUUGUGGCCCACAACCAGCUCCUGUGCGUGGGGACAGUGUUCGGGUGCAGUAAAGAGGCAGCUCUGGGUCUUCAAUCUGGUGCUGAGGUGUUGGGGGAGCCCUGACAGGGACUGUGCGUCCUGUGGCACGACCCAGCAGGAAGAGGCCCCUGGUACCCAAACAGGAGCAGCUGUGAUUUGGCAGCAAAGCCCCAAAGGAAAAGGAACUGUAGCAGGGGUUGAGAGCUCUGGGUUAGGAGGUGCUCAGAGCAGAGGCAGGGUAAGGAGCAGAGCUUUAUCUGCCAGUACCUGGAGCAGCCUCAUUCUGCCAACUUGCUCCUGACAGCUGUUCCCCUUCUUGGGCUUCUAGAAGCAUCCUCAGAGAGCUGUGUGAAACCACAGGUACAGAAACCUGAGAGCCCCGAGUCCCAGGUGAGGGGUGUUGGUGUGUCCUGUGCCUAAGAGGCCAAGGUACAAUACCAGCUGUCCUCAUUGUAGUCGAGUAAUUUCACACAAUGAGUUUCCUGUUUAUAAGCUGACCUUCCCAAUCUCAUUUUUGCCCUCCGUUUCUUACGAGUGGAAAGAAGAGCACAGUGAGCACGACUCAUCUGUCAGCAGCUCUGUGAAAAGCUGAUGCUGAGCAAGCAGGAGGCAGAGAUCUCUCCCCAAACCGAGCGCGUACAAAGCACUGAGUGAGUUGUGACGAGAACAACAGCUCCGAUGGAAGCACGAGCCAAGAACAACAGCUCGACAGGGAACUUUACACUUUCCCUGACAGCUCCUUGGGGCGGAGACAGUUAAGUUUCUGCGUUUGUAAGGGAAACAUGGCAUUCCUUAAAGCUGAGCCUCCUCCCUCGGGUUCCCACUGAAUGCCUGAGAGAUGACAGCAGAGGGUGUCUCCAGCAGGCUCCUAUUAAACAGGAGGAAUUAGCACGGAGGGAGCAAGAGCGAGAUCCCAGUUUUGACCACAGAGUGAGCAAAAAAGCUUUGCAUCAGCAGCAGUUUGCAGUUUUUUUACCCACUGACUGCACACAGCUCCUCUUCAGGGGGUUUCUGUGCCCUCGUGUCGGUGCCUGCACCUGUCCGAUGUGCGAAGGGCUGUGCUGGGAGGGCAGACCAGCUCCAAACAGAAAGUGCUGAGGCAGCAGUGAGGCAGGACAGAUGAUCCUUGGGAGGGCAGUUGUGGUUCAGACACACUGGGAACUGGUUUGAUAUCCCCAGCAGCACAAACCCGGCUGGCCGGGGAGCUGGUGAGCCGAGUAUGUGGACAGAUGGAAUAGAUACAGACAGGAAAUGGGGGAGAAAGGGGAAAUAUUAGUGUUUGUACAGCUCCGAGGAGGCUCAGGUUGGUUCUCGAGUCCUGCAGUCCCAUUUCUAUUUUUAGCUCAGUCACUGGAUGGCUUUGGGGAGUGAUUGGAGGAGCUCGAGCCAGGUGUGAGUGCGGGGAGAGGACAAACCUCUGGCCACCAGGCAGCUCAUGCGAUGUGGCAGCCGCCACCACGCCCUUUCCUGUUCACCCCGGGGCCCCGGGCAGCCGUGCCAGCCACACUGCCUGAGUGGGGAGAAGGGAAAAGGAGGGGUUUUCAAAGUGCUGGUAACCCACAGCAUUCCUCGGGAAAGGAGAGGUGGCGAGCAGCUCUGGUGGUGUCUCUCCCCUGAAACAAAAGCUCACAGAAGUUCUGGAAGCUGCUUUGGGCGGGGGUGCCGACUUCUGGCCGUGCCUCAGCCUCGUGCCCUGUUAGAGGCAAUAUUGACUUAAAGAAAGAGGCAUGGAGCAUGCUUGGCAUGGGUGUUCCGAGUUAAAAAUUGUCAGUCUGGGCAAACAGACCUUUGGGGUGAUCGGCAGGAAAGCCGAGUGGCUGCGCUGCAUUAUUACUGCUCCUUUCAGAGCACGGUGUGACCUGGUGCUGCUCUGGGCGCUGAGCACCCGGCUCGGCGGGUUUGGAGAAGCGCUGCAGGUUUUGGAGCUCAGUGCUUCAGAUCAAACCCAUUUCCUUCCCCUCGGUGAGGUGUUUGUACUGCCUCAGUGAGUCAAUAAGCAUGUGAGGAAUGCAUCUCACAGCUGAAGGUGAGCGAUUAGUGUGGCUGUGCUGGAGGUGAUGAGAUUAAUUAGUCCUUCCCAGGUGAAAUGGAGCUCAAGAAAUAAGAUAUAUGAGAUAUUUAGUCUGAAAUACCACUGUGAGGCAUUUUCAGAGGGAAGUGGGAUCCUGCAUAUGACUCUUACCACAGGAUAUUUAUCUUGAUCCUUAAUUUUGUAGCAGUGCCUCGUCAGGAGAAGAACCAGUACCUGGCAGAUGGGAGGCACGUGUUCUACAAAAGCUGCUGUUCACUGGCAGGAGGCACCUGAUUCUCUGGGUGGAACUUCCUGUCCGUGUUUCUGCCUGUUGCUCUGUCCUGUGUCUUGGCACCUCUGAGCAGAGCCUGGUCCAUGCACACGAGCCCAGGUGGCCACAACCGGCUUGAGGAGUUAAACCCCACGUCCAGGACAGUAUCCCCGUGCCACGCACUGGACAGGGCCGGGGCUCGAACCCUCAACCCUCGGAGCGCAGGGCCCGCGUUGGCCGGACGGGGGCGCG